AGAGUUUGAUCAUGGCUCAGAUUGAACGCUGGCGGCGUGCCUAACACAUGCAAGUCGAGCGGUAACAGGUGUAGCAAUACAUGCUGACGAGCGGCGAACGGGUGAGUAAUGCUUCGGAAUCUACCCAAUGGUGGGGAAUAACCAGCCGAAAGGUUGGCUAAUACCGCAUACGUCCUACGGGAGAAAGCAGGGGAUCGUAAGACCUUGCGCCAAUGGAUGAGCCGAAGCCGGAUUAGCUAGUUGGUAGGGUAACGGCCUACCAAGGCGACGAUCCGUAGCUGGUCUGAGAGGACGACCAGCCACACUGGGACUGAGACACGGCCCAGACUCCUACGGGAGGCAGCAGUGGGGAAUAUUGGACAAUGGGGGAAACCCUGAUCCAGCGACGCCGCGUGUGCGAAGAAGGCCUGCGGGUUGUAAAGCACUUUUAGUGGGGAUGAAAAGUCCAGGGCUAAUACCUCUGGAUCUUGACCUAACCCACAGAAAAAGCACCGGCUAACUCUGUGCCAGCAGCCGCGGUAAUACAGAGGGUGCAAGCGUUAAUCGGAAUUACUGGGCGUAAAGCGUGCGUAGACGGUUACAUAAGUCGGGUGUGAAAGCCCCGGGCUCAACCUGGGAAUUGCAUUCGAGACUGCGUAGCUAGGGUGCGGAAGAGGGAAGCGGAAUUUCCGGUGUAGCGGUGAAAUGCGUAGAUAUCGGAAGGAACACCAGUGGCGAAAGCGGCUUCCUGGUCCAGCACCGACGUUCAGGCACGAAAGCGUGGGGAGCAAACAGGAUUAGAUACCCUAGUAGUCC
rnacentral:rRNA from 1 species